rnacentral:lncRNA from 1 species
CAGGAGUCCUCCUUGGCAGAGCUUGGGUGUCGGGACCCCGAGGUUCCGGCCUGACCUCUCCACGGGGUAGACAGGAACGUCUCCAGAUGCCAGGAGUCGCAAAGCGCCGACCAGGAUGACAAGACCACUGGCAGAGUCCAGGGGAAGCAGCAAAGCAUCCCAGCCUCAGGCCUGCCCGGACGGUGUUCGGCUGUAACCAUGGAAUACUGGGAAUGUCCCAUUCUAUGAAGGAAGUUUGCCGGCCACAACAGGAAUAUUCAUGAAUGUGGAGGGGUUGGGCAUGUUCCAGGAUCUGUUUAUAGACUUCUCUCAGGAGGAAUGGGAGUGCCUGGACACUGCUCAGAAGGACUUAUACAGAAAUGUAAUGAUGGAGAACUAUAGCAGCCUGGUCUCACUAGAUUAAUAGAUGGGCAGCUCUUUGGGUCCCUGUAUCAACUCCAUGCUUCAGACCUUUACACCUUCCUCUAGUCCUUCGUCUCUCUAUCACAAAGCCUGAUGUGAUUUCCUUACUGGAGCAAGGGAAAGAGCCCUGGAUGGUUUCAAGGGACGUACCAAGAGGAUGGUGCCCAGAUUUAUACCAGGCGCUGGAGACCCUCCCACCUGGUCCAUACCCGCCUCCCGGUGAGCACCGAGACCCAACCUUGUGCACCGCCAGUCUUGUUAUCAACAAACAGGCUAGUAAAUUAUAAAAAGUAAAAUAAAGGAAAUGUAGCUGGGUGUGGUGGCAUGCGCCUGUAAUCCCAGCUACUCCAGAGGCUGAUGCAGGAG